GUUCAAAAGCGGCGCGCGGGGUACGCGCGAGCCCCGGCCCGGGAUGGCGGAGGCCUUGAACCAUUUAAAAAAAGACUACAGAGCAAGAUUCUGCCAUGGAGGAGGAAGUAAGAUUGAUGUACAGCCAGGUCAAAACGUACUGAAACUCAUAGAGGAUUGUUUUGAAAGUAAGCUCUUAUUUGGUGUUUUACUCAAUUUGCUGGUAAAAGAAGAAAUAAUUUCUUCUUUAUAUUAUAUUUAGUGGUAAGUAAAUAGAAAUAAAAAUUAGAGAUAAAAUGGAUAAAAAUAAA